AUGGAACAGCUAUCUGAUGGAGGGCAAUCAGAGGGAGAGACACUAGAGGAUGGCGAUGGCUUUGAGAACCUUAUGUUGCUCAAUAUGAUGAAUUUCAUGGGGCGCGACAAUGAGAUGCAGCUAGUAAGCCUUGUGGUGAAGAAGUCUACUAGUCUCAAGCAACUGAUACUAUUUACUCCCAAGAUUAAUUACCUAGAAGAGCUCCAGAAGGAUCAUAUGAAUACUUGCCAUUUUCUUGAAAGAAAAAAACUAUGGCCUCUCAGAAAGGCCUCACCAAGUACAAUCCAACCGUUGCACGAGGCUUUUGUCAAGAUUUACUGA
rnacentral:rRNA from 1 species